AUGCCGAAUGGCUUAAUGUAAGUGGGUUUUUUUUGUUCCUCUAUAUAUUCAUUUAUUUAUUUGUAAACACUUAAAAAUAACAGAAAUUAUCACAUCAUGUUUUGACGCGCAUUGCUCGGUCGACUGCGAUGUAAUGGUAGUCUAAAGGACUCGGUCUUAGGAGGACAAUUUCCUGCUCGAAUACUGGCCAAAUUCUGUUUCUGACAAACAUAGUGCUUAAAGUAUCCGUAUAUCACAAGAUUCCAAAUCCCUCGAGUGAAAAACACACUAGUCAGGAGAUUGGAGAGGAGGAAUCGUUCCGUGGACUGGACGUGAGGAGAGUUCUCCAGGAACGUCAUCACUUGGUAAGGAGUGUGGGUGAUCAAAACGUUGAUUGACAGCGCCAGAAGAAGCUUGACCACAAAGAAGUACGUUAAUAUCCUUUCGCGCAGAAUCGUGAAAUAUUUGAAAACAAGCACCAGAAAAAGGACAAGAACAACUGUACACGGAACCAGAAACAGAAUAAACAAAUCCAUCAAUAAGAAAAAACUGUGAAGCGACAGAAAGCGCUGAUUAAACACACAACGUUUGUAGGUUCUCUCCGACGAAGAUUCGUUCUGGGGGGAGAUAAUUGGAACAGCCGUGAAGAGAACAACGCUCCAAAUGUUGAAAGAGGAGGAGAAGAACCAGAGGAGGCUGGUACAGAACAUGCAGCGGGCCACGGUCACGAUCUCACGUGUGGGGCACAGGAUUCGCAUGGUCUUCUCCGCCGUCAUAAACACUAUGGUGUAGGGUACCACAGUCUUAGUCAAGUAACUCACAAACCGGAAGCACUUGCACAGAUAGAUCGUUUCCCUGUGGUAGAGGAACAUGAUGUGUGUGGGGAUGGCGAUCAGACCGUUCAGGAAGUCGGCCACGGCGAUGGAGAAGAUGAACACGUUCGUGGACCUUCCCAGAAGGCGCUUCUUACGGAUCAACGAUAGAAUAAAGAAGUUUCCAAAGACCAGGAAGACACAAGACAUGGCGUCCAAGAAAACAAUUGCGUUGAAAAAAUUAUUCUCUGAAGUAGACACUGCACUUUUGUUUAACAUGAACGACCAAUUCAUGGAUGUGUUCAUCCUGAUUCGUUUUAUUUUAUGUUGUUUCUUGGUAAAAGCUGUAAAAAGAAAGGAGUAUAAUGACUUUAAAAAUAAAUGGGAUUUAAAACAC
rnacentral:sRNA from 1 species